rnacentral:lncRNA from 1 species
AUGUGUUUGGCAUAGAGAAAUCUCCCCAUUAAUGUCUUCCAGUGUUUCUUCAACUCUCAAAAAGAAAUUCCCAUAUCCGGCUAUGAUGCUUAAUGGCCGAAAAGCCAAAUUGGAUGCUUUUCUUUGCCUUGAUUGAAGCGGCUAAAUAAACAGGACAACUGUUACUAACUCUCCAAUUCGUCUUUGCACCUACUGAAGUCAGACGGCUUUGUUCUUCACAAUGCAUU